rnacentral:rRNA from 1 species
GACGUAGGGCGCGAGCGUUGUCCGGAUUUAUUGGGCGUAAAGAGCUCGUAGGCGGCUUGUCGCGUCGACUGUGAAAACCCGUGGCUCAACCAUGUGGUCUGCAGUCGAUACGGGCAGGCUAGAAUUCGGUAGGGGAGACUGGAAUUCCUGGUGUAGCGGUGAAGUGCGCAGAUAUCAGGAGGAACACCGGUGGCGAAGGCGGGUCUCUGGGCCGAUAUUGACGCUGAGGAGCGAAAGCGUGGGGAGCGAACAGG